rnacentral:antisense_RNA from 1 species
AGUCAGUGGGCUGGGGAAGGCAGAUCCAACCUCAAUCUGGUGCGCCAUCUAAUAAGCUGCCAAUGAAUAUAAAGCAGGCAGAAAAACAUAAGAAGGUGAGACUGGCCUAGCCUCCCAGCCUACAUCUUUCUCCCAUGCUGAAUGCUUCCUGUCCUCGAACAUCGGACUCCAAGUUCUUUAGUUUUGAGACUCGGACUGGCUUCCUUGCUCCUCAAGCUUGCAGACAGCCUAUUGUGGGACCUUGUGAUCAUGGUCUUAACUCUGUCACCCAGGCUGGAGUGCAGUGGUGUGACCACAGCCACUGCAGGCUCAACCUCUGGGACUCAGGUGAUCCUCCCAUCUCAGCCUCCCAAGUAGCUGGGACUACAGGUUGCUUCUUCCAGAUCCCUUUUGAUCUAUUUUCAGCUAUGGAUUCAUGAGAAUCAAGACUAAGCAGCCUGAAUUGAAGGAGUAACAGUAUCACCUAACAAUGAUUUUGCUGCCAUAGUAGCUGUUUGUAUACUGGCCAUAUGCCUAGGUAAAAUGAGGCCAGAUCACUCUCAGAGUUUUCUAUCAGAGUUGGUGGCGAACUACUGCUCACUGAUAAUGAGGUGAAACCCCAGCUGAGGAGGCAAAUAUACUCAAGGAAAGUAAUAGUUUCCAAAUGCCUGGCAGUGCCAGGAAGGGGCCAUGUCCAUGGACCACUAUGUAAGGAUAUCUCAGUCUCUAGUCCAGCGUGGUUUAUGGUGCCAAAUAAGUGCCAGGUGAACUCACUACAUCUGACAAAAUCUCAAGGAACCAAGUUUACCAGAUAAUAUUUAUGAUUAUGUGAAAAAGACUGAGGAAAUCACUCAAGUGAUCCAUCAUACAGCACCUCCAGUUCCAAAGAAUACUGACUUACUUCAGCUGUACUGGUCUGGAGCUGCACAUUCUUUUCAGACAACUCUUGUUCCAGUGACUCUUCUCCUGUAACAGAGCCUCCUUCUUAGAAACUAUGGCCUCCCGUUUC